CAUUUAAGAGAAGUGAACAGUAAAAUAUUAACCAUUGAAUGCACAACAAAGAUUCAAAGAGUGUUCAAAGAUUGAAGUGAGGACAAAACUCAAUAGAAUUAUUUUUUGGUGAGACUUGGAACAAAAAAAUAAUCAGCAACAACUGAACGGGCCUUUUCAGCUAUGAAGAUUAUUAAAACAAGGCUUCGAAACAAGAUGGAAGAUGAAUUUUUAGCAGAUUAUAUAUAUUGAAAAGGAAAUUGCUUCAAAAUUCACUUC